CUGUAUAGAGAGGUAUGAACAAAGUAGACAAACUAGGCAUGUGGUUGCACUUUAUUCGUUUUUAUUUUUAAAUACACAUGAAGGCACCGAAACAUUAAGCCGUGUUUAGCCAAAUAUAUGACCAAGAAGAUCUAUGUGGUUUUCACUAAACAGCUGGGAGACGAUGCGCCUCCGGCUUCCCCAUGUCAAUGGAGAUGUUGUCUCUUAGCCCGAUUGAACGCGAUGUGUCUCAGCCUGAUUGAACCUGUGGUUCUGACUCUCCCUAAUCCAACUUUAACAUGAUCUAUGAUCUAUUGAUGAGAAAAUUGGCUAUUUGCCAUUCCAAAGGAUGGGUUUCGCAAAAUUGCCAACCAAAAGAAGAUUGACUAUUGAUGAUUGACGGAGAGAUACGUAUGCGCAGGAAACUAACUCGAAUGGAGAAACCGAUGCAGGAGUGAUGCAGGGCGGCCGCCGCCACGCCACGCCACGCCUGCUCAGCAUUGCAACGUCGUCGCCCACACUCGCCGCGACCACGGCGGCCAUCAGCACGAGCACGGAGGAACUCGGAUUGUCCUCGUCGCCUCUCGUCACGGCCCUGGCGACUGCCGGAUCAUCAUCGCCGCCCCUCAUCGCGGCCCCGGCAGCUGGCGCGCUCAUCGCUCAACUUGCUGCAGGCGGCCGACGCGCUCGGCAGGCUAGACGCAGUCCCGACGCCGUGCGCCCUGCCGGCUUCGGCUCC
rnacentral:lncRNA from 1 species